AUACGGAGGAUGCAAGCGUUACUCGGAAUUACUGGGCGUAAAGGACGCGUAGGCGGUUUUUAAAGUCAGAUGUGAAAGCCUAUGGCUUAACCAUAGAACUGCAUUUGAAACUUCUAAACUAGAGUGAGGGAGAGGUCAGUGGAAUUAGUGGUGUAGGGGUAAAAUCCGUAGAGAUCACUAGGAAUACUCAUAGCGAAGGCGACUGACUGGAACUUUACUGACGCUGAGGCGUGAAAGCGUGGGGAGCAAACAGGAUUAGAAACCCCGGUAGUCC
rnacentral:rRNA from 1 species